rnacentral:lncRNA from 1 species
UAGGAUGCCCCAGCAUAGGAUGCCCUGUCAGUACCCCAGAGAUCAUGAUCCUAGGAAGAAGAAACUCAUUGUCUGCCAUUGCCUCCACCUCCCUUGACUUACUCGCUCCAGGCCACCAGAAUCUAGACUUGACCUUUAAUUGCAGAAGGACAUCUCCCUGCUGCAGGCAGUCGAUCAGAGAUCUUGGCUCUAAUCUCCACGUGUGUAUUGUCUCCACUCUGUCACUGCAUCAUU